rnacentral:rRNA from 1 species
UACAGAGGGGGCAAGCGUUGUUCGGAAUUACUGGGCGUAAAGGGCGCGUAGGCGGCCUUCUAAGUCGAACGUGAAAUCCCUGGGCUCAACCCAGGAACUGCGUCCGAUACUGGAAGGCUUGAAUCCGGGAGAGGGAUGCGGAAUUCCAGGUGUAGCGGUGAAAUGCGUAGAUAUCUGGAGGAACACCGGUGGCGAAGGCGGCAUCCUGGACCAAUAUUGACGCUGAGGAGCGAAAGCCAGGGGAGCAAACGGG